UUCUUGUGAGUUACACAAUUUGCCUUAUCUGCCAUGCCAGGAAUGUGUGGGUUCAAAGUAGAUUUAAAUUUUACACUUCCAGGAUUUUGCGGGGCAGAUUGUGUGGUGUCAUUUUUGUAUUCUUUUUGUGUAUCAUGCUGAUUAGUUACUCACUUCUCCUUGACUUGUUUAUACAGAUGAUCCUGACAUACCUCCAGUGCAAAAUCAUCGGUCUUUCUUAAAGAAGCAUGUGAUUUAUAAGGAGAUAACACUAUUAAAGAUCCUUUGGUAUUGUCAAAGAUUCAUCAAAUCUAUCGAAUUGGUUAUAUAAAGGAUGUUAUUUUGCUAGGAGUAUUGGAUGAGGUAACUAUUGCAAGUCCCAGUGCCAUCAUUUAAACAAAUAAUGCUACUGUUGUUUGUUGCUAAAAGAUGACACUUCCUUUAUUCAAGAAUUAUUUGCAAGGAUGAAAUCGCCCUCCAUAUCUGAUGAAUCAAAGAGGAACUUGGACAAAUGGGCUAAGAACUUGUACCUUGCAUCAAUGUGCUAUACUGCUAUGGUCGUAUCUGUAUCUUGAUAUAUAUUUA